rnacentral:lncRNA from 1 species
UGAAUGGGGGCAGUAUGACCGUACAGCUGAAGAUGCCAACCAUUAUACUCCACUGCCUCCUAGGGGAUGGGGAAGGAGAAAUCAUGUUUGAUUGGGGAGGGGUCAAAAAUGGUUUCUUUUCUAGUUUGUUUCCAGUGUUUCAUACUAGCAAAUAAUGCUUUAAUGAGUAUCCUCAUAUUCACACUUGAUUUUUUUUUUCUUAGAAUGGCUUCCAAGAAGUGUAAUGAAUAUCCUACUUCUGGGUUGAAGGGUAUGCAUGUUUUAAAGAGCUAGAGAAAUCUUUCCUUAACAUACAAGUAAGAGAACAGCCCUUAAGGAAUGAAGAGUCUAAGAGAAAAAAGUACAGCAUUUCCUAAAUUAUGUUAAGGGAUUGUGCUGUUUUAUCUGGUAGCCACAUCAACAGCAUUAUAUGUCUUUGGGGGUUGCUGGGGCACAAAAAGGUAGAGCAUGGAGAUAUCAAAUAAAGUUCAUUCAUUCUACUGUUGAUUUAACACCUAUAAUAAACUGAAGCAGGAAUACCAUGGUGAGUAAAAUAGACCCUUCAGUGGAACUUAUUGCUUGGGUACACAAAUCCUAUUUUAAUGGUCCGUAUACGAUAAAAUAGUAGCUUGAAUGAGGGUAGUGACAUCAGAGAUGAACUGAAAUGGAUGAAUUCAGUGAAAAAUUGGGGGAAAUCUUAUAGGAGUUUCUGAU